GUGGCUGUAGCUCAAUGGCAGAGCACUGGACUGUGGCUCCAGGUGUUGCGGGUUCAAGCCCCGUCAGCCACC
rnacentral:tRNA from 1 species